rnacentral:rRNA from 2 species
UAAGUAGACCGCCUGGGGAGUACGGCCGCAAGGUUAAAACUCAAAUGAAUUGACGGGGGCCCGCACAAGCGGUGGAGCAUGUGGUUUAAUUCGAUGCAACGCGAAGAACCUUACCUGGUCUUGACAUCCACAGAAGAAUCCAGAGAUGGAUUUGUGCCUUCGGGAACUGUGAGACAGGUGCUGCAUGGCUGUCGUCAGCUCGUGUUGUGAAAUGUUGGGUUAAGUCCCGCAACGAGCGCAACCCUUAUCCUUUGUUGCCAGCGGUUAGGCCGGGAACUCAAAGGAGACUGCCAGUGAUAAACUGGAGGAAGGUGGGGAUGACGUCAAGUCAUCAUGGCCCUUACGACCAGGGCUACACACGUGCUACAAUGGCGCAUACAAAGAGAAGCGACCUCGCGAGAGCAAGCGGACCUCAUAAAGUGCGUCGUAGUCCGGAUUGGAGUCUGCAACUCGACUCCAUGAAGUCGGAAUCGCUAGUAAUCGUGGAUCAGAAUGCCACGGUGAAUACGUUCCCGGGCCUUGUACACACCGCCCGUCACACCAUGGGAGUGGGUUGCAAAAGAAGUAGGUAGCUUAACCUUCGGGAGGGCGCUUACCACUUUGUGAUUCAUGACUGGGGUGAAGUCGUAACAAGGUAACCGUAGGGGAACCUGCGGUUGGA